CAUUACUGGAUAACGCACCUUAUUCACAUACAUUUAUACGUUCAUACUCUAAAUCCAUUCAAAACAUUCACAAUGUCCCUUCUAAUGCUCUACGAGACCUUAAAACAUACUUAGAAGUGGUUCAGGACUAAAUCGAUAACAUUUACGAACUUUGGGAAACUUAGAAUUUUUCAACAUUAAAGGGUCAUACGCUCGUGUAAACAAGCCGCGUGCCUCACACGGCCACCAGACACGCUCGUGUCACAAGCCGUGUGAAAGCAGGGCAUACAUUCUGACUUACACCACACGGCCGAUGACACACCCGUGUGCCAUGACCGUGGGAAAACUGGAGAGGUUAUUGACUUGUGCCACACGGCCUGCCACACGCCUAUGUGCCAUCCCAUGUGUCACACACGACCAAUAGACACGUCCGUGUGUCUAGACCGUGUCAAACCUGUAGGGUAUACUGACUUAAUUCGAAAGGGUACCCUAGGGGACACACGACUGUGUAACAUGACCGUGUGUCACACACGGCUGAGACAUACGCCUGUGUCUCUGCCCGUGUGGACAAAAAU
rnacentral:lncRNA from 1 species